UCGAGGGGCAGCAUAAAAAUAGCUUGCUAUUUUGGUGGCGACCGGCGCACGGGUGCGUAACGCGUAUGCAAUCUACCCUAUACUGAGGGAUAGCCCGGAGAAAUUCGGAUUAAUACCUCAUAGUAUUUAUGAAUCGCAUGGUUUAUAAAUUAAAGGUUACGGUAUAGGAUGAGCAUGCGUCCCAUUAGCUAGAUGGUAAGGUAACGGCUUACCAUGGCGACGAUGGGUAGGGGGCCUGAGAGGGUAGUCCCCCACACUGGUACUGAGACACGGACCAGACUCCUACGGGAGGCAGCAGUGAGGAAUAUUGGUCAAUGGGCGCAGGCCUGAACCAGCCAUGCCGCGUGAAGGAAGAAGGAUCUAUGGUUUGUAAACUUCUUUUAUUUAGGAAUAAACUCUCGGACGUGUCCGAGCCUGAAGGUACUAAAUGAAUAAGCACCGGCUAACUCCGUGCCAGCAGCCGCGGUAAUACGGAGGGUGCAAGCGUUAUCCGGAAUCAUUGGGUUUAAAGGGUCCGCAGGCGGUCUUAUAAGUCAGUGGUGAAAUCUCGUAGCUUAACUAUGAAACUGCCAUUGAUACUGUAGGACUUGAAUUCGGUCGAAGUGGGCGGAAUAUGACAUGU
rnacentral:rRNA from 1 species